AGGUGUAUCCCCAGGUGAUCUUGUUAAAAUGCAGAUUCAAAUUCCAUACAUCUGGGAUGGGGACAGAGAGUCUGCAUUUCUAACAAGCUCCUAAAGAUACUAGU
rnacentral:miRNA from 1 species